CUGCAACCUCCACCUCCCCAGUUCAAGUGAUUCUCCUCAGUAGCUGGGAUUACAGGCAUGCACCACCACGCAUGGUUAAUUUUUUUGUAUUUUUAGUAGAGAUGGGGUUUCACCAUGUUGGCCAGGCUGGUCUCAAACUCUGACCUCAAGUGAUCUGCCUGCCUCAGCCUCCCAAAAGUUCUGGGAUUACAGGUGUGAGCCACCAAGCCUGGCGUAUUAUUAUUGUUUUUUGAGAUAGGGUCUCGCUGCAUCACCCAGGCUGCAGUGCAGUGACAGCGCCAUCUGAGAUCACUGUGACCUCUACCUCCCGGGCUCAAACAAUCCUCCUGCCUCAGUUUCCCAAGUAGCUGGGACUACAGGCAUGUGCCACCACCCCGGCUAAUGCAGUCUCACCAUGUUGCCCAGGCUGGUAUCCAACUCCUAGGCUCAAGUGAUCUGCCUACCUUGGCUUCCCAAAGUGCUGGGAUUACAGGCACAAGCUACCGCAUCCAGCCACUCUACAGACUCCUGGCUGCCCUUCUGCCUUAGUUGCCUCCAGCUCCCAGCCACUCCCCGCCUUGGUGUCUGACCUGGGCACAGCUCUGACUCCACUCACCAGAUACCCCUCCUUCUCCUCCUCCUCCCCCAUGGCAAUGAUGGUUCUCAGGCAGGGUGGGCGGGCAGCCAGGACGAGGGCGUGGGUUUGUGUGCAUGUGGUGGUUGGGGGAGUGUCUGGUUGUGCGUGUCGUGGGCUCUGCCAGUGUUUGCCUGGGAAUCUGCUGGGGAACUUCCAGGUGCAGUAUUUGUUGAUCUGCUCCCUCCCCUGGUUUUUCUCCACCCCCCAGGUACUGGUUAAUUCCCAACUUUCCAGGGCAGUCACUUCACCUCUGUUGCCUCAGUUCCCUGAUCUGUCAGUAGAGAUACAAUUACCAGUUCCCACCUCUGCUGGGUUGUGAGGUUCAAAGAGUCCAAGACUCAAUAAAUGUAACCAUCAUCUCCUGCUUGCUUCUGUGUGAGACUGUUUCUUCCCAGGGGCGAUUUUUUUUUGUUUGUUUGUUUGUUUGUUUUUGAGAUGGAGUCUUGCUCUGUUGCCCAGACUGGAGUACAGUAUCACGAUCUCAGCUCACUGCAACCUCUGCCUCCCGGGUUCAAGCAAUUCUCCUGCCUCAGCCUCCCAAGUAGCUGGGACUACAGGCGCCUGCCACUGCACCUGGCUAAUUUUUUUUUUUUUUUUUUUUUUUUUAGUAGAGACGGGGUUUCACCAUGUUGGCCAGGCUGCUGGUUUCAAACUCGUGGGCUCAAGUGAUCCUCCCGCCUCGGCCUCCCAAACUGUUAGAUUACAGAUGUGAGCUACCUCACCCAGCCCUUGGGGACAAUUUGAAUCUGUGUCUCUGUGUAUGUUCUCUAAGCUUCUGUAUGCCAGUCUGUCUAACUCGUUGUAUACCAGCUGUGCAACCUUGGGUGAGUUACUAGACCUCUCUGUGCCUUGUUUCUUCAUCACAAAAUGGGCAUGACUUCCUAGUCAUGUCUGCUUCCUAGGGUGGAUGUGGAGACUGAAUUAAUUGCCUAAUUAAUUACCUAAGUCCAUUGCACAUAAUGGACUUAGUGCAAUGCCUGGCAUGCGGGCAGCCUCAAUUACAUGAUCAUCAUCACUGGGGCAUGACUUAUGUCUCCCACCCCCCAAGUGUCUGUGAGUGUCUGAGCACGUGGGGCAGGAAGUGCCUGUGGAAGCAUGUGGAGUUAUCUGGGACUCUAUGGCACCCGGCCUGGGAAGGCGGCCUCUGUUUCCUCAUCUGUAAAAUGGGAAUAAUGAUAGCAUCCCUCACAAGGUUGUUGUAGUGGAA
ensembl:lncRNA